rnacentral:sRNA from 1 species
CGCAAACGUUUGCUGCAAGCUUGCGGCAAUGUUUGCUGCAAGCUUGCGGCAAAUGUUUGCC